CCUACGGGAGGCAGCAGUGGGGGAUAUUGCACAAUGGGGGAAACCCUGAUGCAGCGACGCCGCGUGAGUGAAGAAGUAUUUCGGUAUGUAAAGCUCUAUCAGCAGGGAAGAAAAUGACAGUACCUGACCAAGAAGCCCCGGCUAACUACGUGCCAGCAGCCGCGGUAAUACGUAGGGGGCAAGCGUUAUCCGGAUUUACUGGGUGUAAAGGGAGCGUAGACGGUUAUGUAAGUCUGGAGUGAAAGCCCGGGGCCCAACCCCGGGACUGCUUUGGAAACUGUGUAACUGGAGUACAGGAGGGGGGGGGGGAUGUCGUGGGGAAGGGGUGAAGGG
rnacentral:rRNA from 1 species